rnacentral:rRNA from 1 species
GACAGAGGUUGCAAACGUUGCUCGGAAUCACUGGGCGUAAAGCGCACGUAGGCGGCUUCUUAAGUCAGGGGUGAAAUCCUGGAGCUCAACUCCAGAACUGCCUUUGAUACUGGGAAGCUUGAGUCCGGGAGAGGUGAGUGGAACUGCGAGUGUAGAGGUGAAAUUCGUAGAUAUUCGCAAGAACACCAGUGGCGAAGGCGGCUCACUGGCCCGGUACUGACGCUGAGGUGCGAAAGCGUGGGGAGCAAACAGG